rnacentral:rRNA from 1 species
GAUGAACGCUGGCGGCGUGCCUAAUACAUGCAAGUCGAGCGAACGGACGAGAAGCUUGCUUUUCUGAUGUUAGCGGCGGACGGGUGAGUAACACGUGGAUAACCUACCUAUAAGACUGGGAUAACUUCGGGAAACCGGAGCUAAUACCGGAUAAUAUUUUGAACCGCAUGGUUCAAAAGUGAAAGACGGUCUUGCUGUCACUUAUAGAUGGAUCCGCGCUGCAUUAGCUAGUUGGUAAGGUAACGGCUUACCAAGGCAACGAUGCAUAGCCGACCUGAGAGGGUGAUCGGCCACACUGGAACUGAGACACGGUCCAGACUCCUACGGGAGGCAGCAGUAGGGAAUCUUCCGCAAUGGGCGAAAGCCUGACGGAGCAACGCCGCGUGAGUGAUGAAGGUCUUCGGAUCGUAAAACUCUGUUAUUAGGGAAGAACAUAUGUGUAAGAAACUGUGCACAUCUUGACGGUACCUAAUCAGAAAGCCACGGCUAACUACGUG